AUGAACGCUGGCGGUGUGCCUUAGGCAUGCAAGUCGAGCGGGCCUCGCAAGAGGUCAGCGGCGGACGGGUGAGUAACACGUAGGAAUCUACCCUUUGAUUAAGGAUAGCUCGUCGAAAGACGGGGUAAUCCUGUAUAAGUUCCGAGAGUAAUCGAGGAAGAAAGCGAGUAACUUCGCGUCGAAGGAUGAGCCUGCGCCCUAUCAGCUAGUUGGUGGGGUAAUGGCCUACCAAGGCAAUGACGGGUAGCUGGACUGAGAGGUCGGUCAGCCACAAGGGCACUGAGACACGGGCCCUACACCUACGGGUGGCAGCAACCGGGAAUAUUGCGCAAUGGAGGAAACUCUGACGCAGCGACACCGCGUGUGGGAUGAAGAUCUUAGGAUUGUAAACCACUUUUAAUAGGGAAGCCUCGGCGUUUACGUCGGGGGACGGUACCUAUCGAAUAAGCACUUACUAACUACGU
rnacentral:rRNA from 1 species